rnacentral:lncRNA from 1 species
AGUUGCUCGGCGGCGGCGGCCGUGGUCACCAGGAAGGGGACGGGACGGACGGUGAUGGUGGUCGCCGCGGCGGCGUGUGCGCCCCUCAGGUAUCUGCCCAAACUGGAACUUAUGCUGUAGACAUUUCUUUGUGGUUUAUCUAAAAACCAAAGGAAAAGAAUACUUGAGAUCCAUUUGUAAGGAAAGAAAAGGAAGCAACAACAUAAUGCCCAGAGUUGGAGCCAAUUAAACCAGACGAGUCUCACUCUGUCGCCCAGGCUGGAGUGCGGUGGCGUGAUCUUGGCUCACUGCAACCUCUGCCUUCCGGGUUCGAGUAAUUCUCCUGCCUCAGCCUCCCAAGCAGCUGGGUCUACAGUGAGACUAAUUACAUCCUUCAAUGAAGUACCAUUUUGUGAGAAAGUGAGAAUUCAAUGAUUUAUGAAAAAAUCCAAGAAGGAGAAACAAACAUUUUCUAAUAUGAAAGUAGUAAUGACUACAGCUAUAUAAAUAACAGUAACAAAGAGUAAACAUUGCUAUCUUCAGAAAUUAAGG